UACGAAGGGGGCUAGCGUUGUUCGGAAUUACUGGGCGUAAAGCGCGCGCAGGCGGUCUUCCAAGUCAGUGGUGAAAGCCUGGAGCUCAACUCCAGAACUGCCAUUGAAACUGUUAGACUUGAGUACGAGAGAGGUGAGUGGAAUUCCCAGUGUAGAGGUGAAAUUCGUAGAUAUUCGCAAGAACACCAGUGGCGAAGGCGGCUCACUGGCCCGAUACUGACGCUGAUGCACGAAAGCGUGGGGAGCAAACAGG
rnacentral:rRNA from 1 species